UUUAGAUCUCCCUAUAAUGGGCACUCAAGCAGUGGGCUGAGUUAACAGGUCACUUUAUGUACUUUAUAUACCGUGUAGAAUAAUAGAGGCAAUGUGGGAAGGCUGGAAAUUUCUCUUUUGUGUAAUGGUGAGUCACAGUACAGAAGGAUCUGGAAGUUAAUGGCUUAGCAGCAUGUUGCAUCUCUUGUUCACCAGAUCUGGCCCUGCAGAACAGAUACACAAUUGAUGUCAACAUCCGCUACCUGUAAGGAAGGAGGAGGAGGGUUGGUAGGAUAGGAGGCAGCUGAAUAGUGGAAUGAAAGCAAAAGCCUGGGUAUGGUGGUCUGCUAAGGCAAACUUAGGACUGUGUGUUUGUGACCAUGCAAGAAACUUCCACGUUCUCUCAUUUGUGUCAAAUGUUUAACUUAUGUCACUGCACUGAAGGGGCAAGAAUUUCAGCAGCAAAGGCUUUGCCAUUUUAUCCUUGUUCGUGAAAGUGAUGUUGUAAGCUGAUCGUUACUUUAAGUGCUAGAUUUAAGCAAGAUUGGGAAUUAAGUAGGCCCAAGUGUGUGAAGAAUUCUUAGUGAAUCCAGACGGUAAUUGUUACCUGUGGACCAGUGUUAUCAGUUACAAAGGCGGUAUCCUAACAGGUACAGUGGUCUUGAAUAACAGCUCUAAAUAUUUCGAAGUACCAAGUUCUUAUUAGGCUGAAGGGAGCAGUUCUUGGUACUGUGAGUUUUUACAGACUAACCGAUGCUCUUUGUAAGGGCAGGCGCACUGAUGGAAGUUGUCCAUUAGAGGUCACUGAAGCUCCGCCAGUGAAGAAGUCUGAGCCCUGUCCUGCUGGGUUGGCUAUCGCUGCUUGCUUUUUUCUGCUGAGCAAAGGCCUCUUGCCCAAACUUCUCUUUCAAAAGCAGCCUCUUACAGUAUAAACUAGUGCUAUGUCAGAACAUUUGCCAGGAGCCACUGCAGCCUCAUCCUCAAGUAAAGGAAGCACAGCCUGGUGGAAUCUCACGUUUGGUGAGUGGGCAGGAGGCAUCAGAAACCUCCACGGAUGAGGACAGAGGACGCUGCUGCCGUCUCCCUGCCUGUGGCACUGGUGGUCAGGCUUGAGGCCCUUUGUCUCGUCCCCUUCUCCUGACAUCAGCUGGAAGAGACGGAGAUUAAAACAAGGGUAAUUUCCCC
ensembl:lncRNA